rnacentral:rRNA from 1 species
GACGUAGGGCGCGAGCGUUGUCCGGAUUUAUUGGGCGUAAAGCGUACGCAGGCGGCUUUGCAAGACAGGUGUGAAAUCCCCGGGCCUAACCUGGGAACUGCAUUUGUGACUGCAUGGCUAGAGUUUGUCAGAGGGGGGUGGAAUUCCACGUGUAGCAGUGAAAUGCGUAGAUAUGUGGAGGAACACCGAUGGCGAAGGCAGCCCCCUGGGAUGUGACUGACGCUCAUGUACGAAAGCGUGGGGAGCAAACAGG